AGGAAGUUUUGCUAAGCAGCUUGGUCAACCUGUUGUUUCCAAAACCUUGGGGGAUAGAUUUUCAGCUCCAGCAGUGGAGACCCGUCCUAGCAUCUGGGGGGAGUGCCCACCAAAGUUUGCUACCAAGCUGGGCCGAGUUGUGGUCAAAGACGGACAGAUGGGACGAUUCUCCUGCAAGAUCACUGGCCGGCCCCAACUGCAGGUCACCUGGCUCAAGGUUUGGACAGUGCUAAUAGAUCAUUUGGGAGAGAAACAAAAGCCACCAAUUCAGACAUCAGGAGGGAGGUGACCAAUACAAUCUCAAAAGCAUUGAAACUGGACAGUCUGGAGGCUGCAGCCAAGAGCAAGAACUGCUCCAGUCCCCAGAGAGGUGGCUCCCCAACCUGGGCCCCAAAACACCAGCCUCAGCCCCUGAGGGACUCGCCCAUAAUAGCCCCGCAGACCCCGUCCUUCAGAAAACUUCCAGCUCCAUCACUCUGCAGGCCGCAAGCGUUCAGCCGGAACCAAAAGCACCAGUCCUGGGGGCCCUAUCACCUUCUGGAGAAGAAAGGAAGAGGCCAGCUGUUCCCCAUCCAGCCACCUUCCCUACCAGGCAGCCUGGCCUGGGAAGCCAAGACAUCGUGAGCAAGGUUGCUACCAGGAGAAUCCCCCUGGAGGGCCAGAGGGAUGCAGCAUUCCCAAAGCCAGGAGGUCAGGGAAAAUCAAACUGUCAAGUUCAGGUGUGAAGGUGCCAAAUGGGCCAGGGCAGUCCAAAGGAGAAUCAGAGCAGCCACAGAAGACACAGGUGUCAAGAAGGGAGAAAUCUUGUCCACGCAACUCACCCCACCUGCCAGUGGUAAAUAUUCUCUUUUUUUUCCUCCAAUCACUCAAGUCCUUAAAGAAAUAGAAUUUGAUUGGGUAGACAUUUUUACUUGUGUGGAAUUUUGUGGUUUGUUCUUCUUAAUUGAGUGGCUAUAGGAGGUGUUGCUCGCCUAGGUUCUGGAAAAAGACUACACACAGAGGCCGCAGGAAGAGGAGGGAAUCCACAACCACAAUGAGUGGUUGUUCUUGUCACCUCACUGGUUCCAACUCUGAAGAGAGAUGAUGGACCUUCUCAUCAUUUUCUCUCACAAAGAGGCAUAUUGUUGUAGGCAGGAUUCUAGGAACAGCCUCCAACAUUUCCACCCCCUGGUGUACAUGCCCUAUGUAUAAGCUCAUCAUCCCUGUUAAGUGUUAGUGAGACCUGUGAAUAUGAGGAGCAGUCACUCCUGUGAUUAAGGUUAUGUGGAGGCUGGGUGUGGUGGCUCAUGCCUAUAUCCUAGCACUUUAGGAGGCCAAGGCAAGUGGAUUACUUGCAGUCAGGAGGCACACAGGAUAGAAAGAACUGACUUUCUGAGCUCAUAGCUAGUAUGAGGCAGUUGAUAUUUACUAUAAUGUUGACAUGGUAGACAAGACAGUCAGGAUUCUCACUCUGUGGUGCCAGACCUGUCAUUAUUAGGCCAAAUAGAACUUCAGUCCCUAAGAUACUGAACAUGCAAAGCUGAAACGACACUGAAGUAUCACUUUUCAGAAGGGCCUCUUGGAAUAAGGAAGGAAGGGGAAGCAAAGUGGAAAGAGAGAAAACAAAAGAGAAUUUAAUUCAGUAAACAAAUAUUUAUGGUGUCCACUAUGUGCAUAGUUCUGUUCUAGCUCCAGAAUACAGCAGUGACUAAAACAACCAAAACCCCAUGCCCUCCAGUGAAAAAAUAUAGAGAAAUUAAUAAAACAAAAAUUUAAAAAUACAUAGUAUGUAAUGAUUGUAAAGCAAGGGAGGCGUCGGAAGGGAUAUUGGUGUUCCACUUAAAAGAGUCAGAUAAGACUCCCUCAGAAGGUCACAUUUGGAUACAAGCCAAAGGUGCUAAGGAGUGAACCAUGUGGAUAUCUGAGGAAAUCGUGUUCCAGGCAGAGGAAAUGCAAGUGCAAGCCUUGAGGCGGGAGAGGGUCUGGCCUUUCUGAGGGAUACUAAGAUGGCCAGCAUGGCUGGAGGGUAGUGAAGGAGAAAAGAGAAAAUGAUGUGUUCAGAGAGUUUAAGGGCUUGUGGGUUACUUUCACUUUUACUUGCAUAAAGUGGGAGCCACUGAGAAUUCUAAAUAGAGGAAUGACAUGAUCAGUCUUAGGUUUCCAAAAAAGUGAUCAGGCAGCUGUGAUGAGAACAGGUCACAGGAGGGAAAGGGCAGAAACAGGAGAUGGGUUAGGAAGCCACUGCAAUGGUCCAGGUGAGAGAUGAGGUUUGCUUGGACCAAGGUGAAGGACGUGGAGAGAAGUGCUCUAAUUCUGAAUGACUUUCGGAGAUACAGCCAAUAGCAUUUGCUCUGAGUGGAUUUAAGGUGUGGGGGAAAAAGCAGUCAAGGAUAAUGCCAAGGUUUUUUAGCCUGAGCAACUGGAAUUUACAGUUGGCAUUUGCUGCUAUGGGGAAGCCUGGAUAAGCUGGUUUGGAGAGGAAUCUUGGAGUGCAGUUGUCGGGUACUCAGCCUGAGAAGCCUAUUAACAUCCAGAGGGGCAGAGUAGACAGUGGAUAUUAUAUUGUGAUGUUUAGGAAAGGAUUAGGGCUGAAGACAUAAAUUUGAUAUUCAAAACAUGAGACUGAAUGAGAUCAAAGAGACAGUGCAUGUAGAUAGAGAAGCCCAAGUGUAAAUCCUGGGGUACUCCAAGAUCAAAAUGUCAGGGAGAGGAGGAAGAGCAAGCAAAAGAGACUGAGAAAGAAGAGCCAAUGAGGAAGGAAAAAAAAAAAAACAAAAACAAGCAUUCACGCUUGUCCUGGAAUACAAGGAAAAACUGCUUCAAGCAUGUGAAGUUGAUCAACAGGGUCAAAUGCUGCUCAUAGGUUGAGCUGAGGCUAAGAGAUGAUGUUGGAUUUAACAGAACGUCAUUGGGGACCUUGACAAGUCAUUUCAGUGGAGUGAUGGGAAUGAAAGCCUGGUUUAAAUAGAUUCAAAAGAGAUUAGGAAGAGAGAAAUUAGAGGUGGCAAGUAUGGGCAAUUCUUUUAAAGAACUUGGCAAUAAAAGGAAGAAGAGAAAUGGGUCAAAGCUGAAGAGGAAAAUGAUGGGAGAAAUUAGAAUAUGUUUGUGUGUUGAUGAGAAUUACCUAGUAGAAAAAGGGAAAUGAUGAGAAAAGAUAUAGUCAAUUUUCAUUUGUACAAGAAAACAGCAGAA